GACGAACGCUGGCGGCGUGCUUAACACAUGCAAGUCGAGCGGUAAGGCCCUUCGGGGUACACGAGCGGCGAACGGGUGAGUAACACGUGGGUGAUCUGCCCUGUACUUCGGGAUAAGCCUGGGAAACUGGGUCUAAUACCGGAUAUGACCUGAGGUUGCAUGACUUCGGGUGGAAAGAUUUAUCGGUACAGGAUGGGCCCGCGGCCUAUCAGCUUGUUGGUGGGGUAAUGGCCUACCAAGGCGACGACGGGUAGCCGGCCUGAGAGGGCGACCGGCCACACUGGGACUGAGACACGGCCCAGACUCCUACGGGAGGCAGCAGUGGGAAUAUUGCACAAUGGGCGGAAGCCUGAUGCAGCGACGCCGCGUGCGGGAUGACGGCCUUCGGGUUGUAAACCGCUUUCGACAGGGACGAAGGGAAACUGACGGUACCUGUAGAAGAAGCACCGGCCAACUACGUGCCAGCAGCCGCGGUAAU
rnacentral:rRNA from 1 species